rnacentral:rRNA from 1 species
UACGUAGGGGGCAAGCGUUGUUCGGAAUUACUGGGCGUAAAGCGUGCGUAGGUGGUUCGUUAAGUCUGAUGUGAAAGCCCUGGGCUCAACCUGGGAAUGGCAUUGGAAACUGGCGACCUAGAGUGCGGUAGAGGGUAGUGGAAUCCCCGGUGUAGCAGUGAAAUGCGUAGAGAUCGGGAGGAACAUCUGUGGCGAAGGCGACUGCCUGGACCAGCACUGACACUGAGGCACGAAAGCGUGGGGAGCAAACAGG